AUGGCCGCCGUCACGGCCGCGGCCGUCUCCCUCCGGGCCGCAACCACCACCUCCACCUCCCCGUCCAGCGCGCCGCAGCACUCCCACUGCAGCUUCCCGUGCGCCGCAAGAACGACCGCCGUCUCCCGCCGCGGCGUGCUCACCGUCCGGGCGCAGGCCGUCUCCACGGAUGCGGCGCCGGUGAAGGAGAAGAAGGUGUCCAAGAAGCAGGAGGAGGGGGUGGUGACCAACAAGUUCCGGCCCAAGGAGCCGUACGUGGGCAAGUGCCUGCUCAACACCAAGAUCACCGCGGACGACGCGCCCGGGGAGACGUGGCACAUGGUCUUCUCCACCGACGGCGAGGUGCCCUACAAGGAGGGCCAGUCCAUCGGCGUCGUCGCCGACGGCCAGGACAAGAACGGCAAGCCCCACAAGCUCCGCCUCUACUCCAUCGCCAGCAGCGCCCUCGGCGACUUCGGCGACGCCAAGACCGUCUCGCUGUGCGUCAAGCGGCUCGUCUACACCAACGACGCCGGGGAGGUCGUCAAGGGCGUCUGCUCCAAUUUCCUGUGCGACCUGAAGCCCGGUGCCGAUGUCAACAUAACAGGGCCGGUAGGCAAAGAAAUGCUCAUGCCUAAAGACCCAAAUGCUACUAUCAUCAUGCUCGCGACAGGGACCGGUAUCGCGCCAUUCCGGUCAUUCUUGUGGAAGAUGUUCUUUGAGAAGUAUGAAGACUACAAGUUCAAUGGCCUAGCCUGGCUCUUCUUGGGAGUUCCGACCAGCAGCUCUCUGCUCUACCCAGAGGAGUUUGGGAAGAUGAAGGCGAAGGCGCCGGACAACUUCCGGGUCGACUACGCCAUCAGCAGGGAGGAGACCAACGCGGCGGGAGAGAAGAUGUACAUCCAGACCAGGAUGGCAGAGUACAAGGAUGAGCUGUGGGAGCUUCUGAAGAAAGACAACACCUAUGUGUACAUGUGUGGACUGAAGGGCAUGGAGAAGGGUAUUGAUGAGAUCAUGAUCCCAUUGGCUUCAAAAGAAGGGAUCGACUGGAUAGACUACAGGAAGCAACUGAAGAAGUCGGAGCAAUGGAACGUCGAAGUCUACUGA
rnacentral:rRNA from 1 species